rnacentral:rRNA from 1 species
CGCGGCCUAUCAGCUUGUUGGUGGGGUAACGGCCUACCAAGGCAUCGACGGGUAGCUGGUCUGAGAGGACGAUCAGCCACACUGGGACUGAGACACGGCCCAGACUCCUACGGGAGGCAGCAGUGGGGAAUAUUGCGCAAUGGGCGAAAGCCUGACGCAGCAACGCCGCGUGGGGGAUGAAGGCUUUCGGGUUGUAAGCCCCUUUCAGUGAUGACGAAAAUGACGGUAAUCACAGAAGAAGCCCCGGCCAACUACGUGCCAGCAGCCGCGGUAACACGUAGGGGGCAAGCGUUGUCCGGAUUUAUUGGGCGUAAAGAGCUCGUAGGCGGUUGCGUAAGUCGGAUGUGAAAACUCAGGGCUCAACCCUGAGAUGCCAUUCGAUACUGCGCUGACUAGAGUCCGGUAGAGGAGCAUGGAAUUCCUGGUGUAGCGGUGAAAUGCGCAGAUAUCAGGAGGAACACCAGUAGCGAAGGCGGUGCUCUGGGCCGGUACUGACGCUGAGGAGCGAAAGCAUGGGUAGCAAACAGGAUUAGAUACCCUGGUAGUCCAUGCCGUAAACGUUGGGCACUAGGUGUGGGACCUACUUAACGGGUUCCGUGCCGUAGCUAACGCAUUAAGUGCCCCGCCUGGGAGUACGGA